rnacentral:rRNA from 1 species
CCUACGGGUGGCAGCAGUGGGGAAUAUUGCACAAUGGGGGAAACCCUGAUGCAGCGACGCCGCGUGAGUGAAGAAGUAUCUCGGUACGUAAAGCUCUAUCAGCAGGAAAGAAAAUGACGGUACCUGACUAAGAAGCCCCGGAGAACUACGUGCCAGCCGCGGUAAUACGUAGGGGGCAAGCGGUAUCCGGCUUUGCUGGGUGUCAAGGGAGCGUUGACGGCGAUGCAAGUCCGGAGGGAAAGCCCAUGGCUUAAACAUGGUACUGCUCUGGAAACUGUCGAGCUUGAGUGCGGGAGAGGCAGGCGGAAUGCGUAGUGUAGCGGUGAAAUGCGUAGAUAUGAGGAGGAACACCGGCGGCGAAGGCAGCGUGCUGGACCGUAACUGACGUUGAGGCUCGAAAGCGUGGGGAGCAAACAGGAUUAGAUACCCGGGUAGUC